rnacentral:lncRNA from 1 species
UUUUUCCUCAUUACAACUUUUAUUUCAUAUAAAUAAUCCUUCUACAUCAGCUUUUCAACCUUUCAGUCUUACUGUAAAGAAGAAACAGCCACAGUUCUCUAAGAAAAUGCCAACCCAGGCACCAGCCAAAGUGCAUUGAGCAAAGUGGGAAUGAGCAGGAAAAAUCCACUUGGAACAGGCACUACCUGUGCAGUCCCAGCCCUGAAGCUUGGUACAGACUCACUCCUUCCUAGGCAUCAUUAUAUGCAAAGUUACUUGGAUUUGCAGGAGUAAAAGGAGGGAAAGGGGGAAAAGUGAUGGGUUUCCUUUCAGAAAGGAGCCUGAGGCAGUGAAUAGCAGCAGGGCUGGACCAGGGGCAGUGGCAGUGUCUCUACCUGACUGUGUAUCCAACUGCUGCCGAGGGGCAGCAAGCUCUUUAUCUCAGACUGUGUUUUGUGUGGACCAUGAGGCAAACCAGUUCUGGUGUGUGCUGGUAAUGACUUGCACUGGCUGGACCAGGUUGAGGUCAAGGGCCUGAUGUAAAAUAGAAUAAUAAAUUAAAAAAUAUAAGCAAUCUAAAGCAGGGAUUUGAGCCAGUCAGCUAAGGAAAAGCAGCCUUCACCAGUGAUGGAGGAUCUCCAGGACCUGGAGCAGUUCUGCAAUCUGUCUUCUAUCUGUCUGUUCUUUUAUCUGUUGGGUAAGUCCAAAUAAACCCAGUCUGGAUGAAGAUGUUUCUCCUGAUAACACAACAACUGCACACUCUGUUUCUUGAUAAUACCUGGUCUGAAGCCAGAAACCUCCCCUGAAUUUGGCACACAGAGGGAACUCCCAGGCUUGUCCUUUCUGAGAUAGGUGCUGUGGAUGUAAGGUACGUGGAAAACCAGAAUGUUUAUCUGUGCAAGUAUUAGUUUAUUAAACCAGCAUACAGUGUUUCAGCCCACACGUGCCAGCCUUACCCCGAGGUUAGCAGAUGCAUCCUGCAGUGAACCCCAAUAAAUCUCUGCAUGUGUUUGCUCCUGCAUCAAGCUUUAGAGCAGCGCUUCAACGUGAGGGUGAGAUCCUGUUGUCAUUUGGAAGUCAUAUAUUACAUUGUGUUAUUCCUUGUGCCUGCCUUCUGCCUUCUCCUUAAUCAAUAGCCUUAUUUCAGGUAGGUCCCAGUUUGCUGGGAAUCUCUCAGCAGCUUGCAAACCCAAGCAGCUGGGAGUCUUGCACAUUUAUGCUUGUCAGUGUUCAUCCAGAUCUUUCAUUUGAAAGGUGUCUUUUAAGGCCAGGUCAAAACCGAUGCCCUCUGACUCAAGCACAAGGCUAUGAAAGGCACAACCAGGAAGGUGAAAGCAUUUGAUUGGAAGCCUCAGACCUUCAGCUCCAACUUGGCCUGGGUCCUGCUGCCAACUCCUUUGUGCAGUGUGGGGAAGGAAGAUGAUUGUAUUUGUGCUGUCCUCCUCCCAGCCCUGCCUGGCACAGAGCUGCAAGUACCUCCAGGUACCGCAACCUGCCUGGUGUCAGGAAGCAGACACGGGGUUUUGCUGAGCUGCAUAUAAACCUGCUCCACUGAGCAGCAGCUUCCCUUAGCAAAAUCAGUCUCCUGAUGUGCUGUUUCAGCCUCACUGCCUGUGCCCUGCUACAUCUAACAGGAGGAGGAAAAUCAGCAGUUAAAGGCUGAUGCUGUGGUUGAUGUGUGCUUGUCAAAAGCACCCCACUCUGCAGAACGCUCCAUCCCCUUUGUGCCCCGCGACCCACGCAACUACCACACAUCUCUGCCAACACUUCAACCACAUACAAACCUCUAGUACAGGAGCUGCUCUGAACACUACUGUAUCACCCGCCUACUAACUACAACGUAACGCCCUUCACCCUGUCUCCUAAGGCUCUGCUUUGUCAGUCACCCACUCCCUGCCUGGCUGUCCUGGUACCCGCAGUGCCCUGCCAGCCUCGGGGGAGAAAGGGGUGGUGUGCCCAGAAACCUAAAUCUUAGCUCUAAACACAAUUAGUUAUUAAAUAAGAUAAAGUGCAUUCAGUAGACAUGUCAUUGGCUUGCCACACAGCUGCAAGAGAGGCAAAAUAAAUACAAAAGGUAAGUGAUGGUGUUUUCUUUGUUGCUUGGGAGUGUGUGUCCUUCCCUGCCCUUUGGCAUACGGAUGGGAAAGGGUGAUGCCAAAACUGGGAGCAGGGAGUGGUGAUGGGGACCCCGUGUGUUGUGAAUGGGUGCUGAGGGGCACAGGGCAGGUGCUGAAAGAUGAUUUCAUAGAAGGUAAAAGAAGGAGGACAAACUUGUGCUCCUCUUCUCUUCUCAUCCACCACCUUCAGCACGUUCUCCUGUGAAACAAGAGCAGAGACAGCAGUGGGAUUAUGAGUCUUUAGGGAACUGCUGAGCAGUAAAUUAAAGAUGUCUGAGUUUCAGCCUGACCUUCCUGCACUGCUGGGACUGCUCCAGAGGCACCACUGCACCAUAACCAUGUACCCACCUGACAAAUCCAACAGGAGCAAUGGGGUGCUCAGCAGCCCUGGGGUGAGCUAAUGUAUGAAUCUGGGUGAAACACUCUCAAUCCUCAUCUCUGUUAGAUGGGAAUACUUUACUCUCCUUUUGCCCCAGGAACAAUCCUUACAUGUUUUCCUGUGUGCUUGAACAUCACCUAGGGCAAGAAGACAAGGGGCUGAUUUGGGGCAGGGCUUUGUGGUCCUCUCCUGAGCCUGGGGUACAGCAUUUCUGUUCUCCAAGGGCAUGCGGGUGCAUCAGCUUUUCUCUGGUGAAUAAACCAACCCAUGAGCAGAGCUGCCCUGUAGCUACUUCCAGACCCAGAUGCGUUGAUUUUAGUUGGGAAAGGCAGACUUACUUGUUCCCUCUAGUUGCCAUAUGCCUGGGUGAUGCUCAGAACUGCUGAGCUGGCGUUUUCUGCAUCCCUGUUUAAACCCACAGAUCUGCCUUUUGCUGGUGCACAUUUCUGCACUCAAGCUCCCAAGAAAGGUCAAAAGGGGGAUAUAAAGAGGAAAACAUGAAACACCACAAAGGCAGAGAGGUGAUAGCAAGCUUCCCUCACAUAGAAAGGACACCUCUAAAGG